ensembl:lncRNA
CAGUUAGCCGCGUACAAGCAACAUGAAGAAAGUUAUCAACCUAUUCUGACCAGGGCAUCUCGACUACAAGGCCAUCAGACAUCCAGGCAACCUGAAAUCUGUAUCUUUUCUUUCAACCAAGCUAGUCUGCUAAAUGUGUUUAUUCUAGUGUUUUAAGUUAAUUUGAUUGCUUUAGCUCUUGCCGUUUUUACUGCCAGUUCUCUCUGUUUGAAGUUAACUUGAUUGCUAGUUUGCUCUAGCUCUUGCCGUUUCUUUUGUGCCAGUUGUUGUUGUUGUUGUAGACUCUGCUAUUAAGUUAACUGCUAGUGUGCUCUCCUAACUUUGCUAGGUUUGACCCGAUCUAACUCUGUUUUGACUUCCACUAACGAGGGAGUAUUUAACUAGAGGUUGAGUGAAGCGUUAGCUUCAGCGUUUGCAUAGCCUCGCCGUAUGAAGACGAGCUGAAGUAAGGCUAGGGAGUCUUUUGUGGGAGUCAAGACGAGCUGAACAAAGACUAGGGAGUCUUUCGUGGGAGUCAAGACGAGCUGAACAAUGACGAGGGAGUCUUUCGUGGGAGUCAAGACGAGCUGAACAAUGACGAGGGAGUCUUUCGUGGGAGUCAAGAGGAGCUGAACAAAGGCUUUGGGGCGGCUGAAUCUUUUCAGGAGCCACAAAAUCCUGAAAAUCAAAGGCCACAAGAUUCACCUCCAGCUGUCCAGGUACCUCCAAUAAAAUCCAAUUCAUGGACCCUGCUAAGGCCACAAAAUAAUGGGAGCUGCCACGAGACGCCUGCAUCAAGAGUUGGUGACACUGUCCAGUUCCCCCAGAAACAAGGACAUUCAUUC